CAUAAUACUUCCGAAAGGCAUCUUUUGGGAGUCAAAGAUUUAUUGCUGAAGGAUGGGCUCAUGUCUGAUUAGCUAGUUGGUAGGGUAACGGCCUACCAAGGCGACGAUCAGUAGCCGGUCUGAGAGGAUGAACGGCCACAUUGGGACUGAGAUACGGCCCAGACUCCUACGGGAGGCAGCAGUGGGGAAUAUUGGGCAAUGGGGGAAACCCUGACCCAGCAACGCCGCGUGAAGGAAGAAGGCUUCGGGUUGUAAACUUCUUUACCAGGGACGAAGGACGUGACGGUACCUGGAGAAAAGCAACGGCUAACUACGUG
rnacentral:rRNA from 1 species